GACGAACGUUGGCGGCGUGCUUAACACAUGCAAGUCGAACGGUAAGGCCCUUCGGGGGACACGAGUGGCGAACGGGUGAGUAACACGUGGGUGAUCUGCCCUGCACUUCGGGAUAAGCCUGGGAAACUGGGUCUAAUACCGGAUAGGACCACUGCCUGCAUGGGUGGUGGUGGAAAGCUUUUGCGGUGUGGGAUGGGCCCGCGGCCUAUCAGCUUGUUGGUGGGGUGAUGGCCUACCAAGGCGACGACGGGUAGCCGGCCUGAGAGGGUGACCGGCCACACUGGGACUGAGAUACGGCCCAGACUCCUACGGGAGGCAGCAGUGGGGAAUAUUGCACAAUGGGCGCAAGCCUGAUGCAGCGACGCCGCGUGAGGGAUGACGGCCUUCGGAUUGUAAACCUCUUUCAGCACCGACGAAGCGCAAGUGACGGUAGGUGCAGAAGAAGGACCGGCCAACUACGUGCCAGCCGCCGCGGUAA
rnacentral:rRNA from 1 species